rnacentral:rRNA from 1 species
CGCUAGCUACAGGCUUAACACGUGCAAGUCGAGGGGCAUCAGGAAGAAAGCUUGCUUUCUUUGCUGGCGACCGGCGCACGGGUGGGUAACACGUAUCCAACCUGCCCUUUACUCGGGGAUAGCCUUUCGAAAGAAAGAUUAAUACCCGAUGGCAUAAUGAUUCCGCAUGGUUUCAUUAUUAAAGGAUUCCGGUAAAGGAUGGGGAUGCGUUCCAUUAGGUUGUUGGUGAGGUAACGGCUCACCAAGCCUUCGAUGGAUAGGGGUUCUGAGAGGAAGGUCCCCCACAUUGGAACUGAGACACGGUCCAAACUCCUACGGGAGGCAGCAGUGAGGAAUAUUGGUCAAUGGGCGCUAGCCUGAACCAGCCAAGUAGCGUGAAGGAUGAAGGCUCUAUGGGUCGUAAACUUCUUUUAUAUAAGAAUAAAGUGCAGUAUGUAUACUGUUUUGUAUGUAUUAUAUGAAUAAGGAUCGGCUAACUCCGUGCCAGCAGCCGCGGUAAUACGGAGGAUCCGAGCGUUAUCCGGAUUUAUUGGGUUUAAAGGGAGCGUAGGUGGACUGGUAAGUCAGUUGUGAAAGUUUGCGGCUCAACCGUAAAAUUGCAGUUGAUACUGUCAGUCUUGAGUACAGUAGAGGUGGGCGGAAUUCGUGGUGUAGCGGUGAAAUGCUUAGAUAUCACGAAGAACUCCGAUUGCGAAGGCAGCUCACUGGACUGCAACUGACACUGAUGCUCGAAAGUGUGGGUAUCAAACAGGAUUAGAUACCCUGGUAGUCCACACAGUAAACGAUGAAUACUCGCUGUUUGCGAUAUACAGUAAGCGGCCAAGCGAAAGCAUUAAGUAUUCCACCUGGGGAGUACGCCGGCAACGGUGAAACUCAAAGGAAUUGACGGGGGCCCGCACAAGCGGAGGAACAUGUGGUUUAAUUCGAUGAUACGCGAGGAACCUUACCCGGGCUUAAAUUGCAGUGGAAUGAUGUGGAAACAUGUCAGUGAGCAAUCACCGCUGUGAAGGUGCUGCAUGGUUGUCGUCAGCUCGUGCCGUGAGGUGUCGGCUUAAGUGCCAUAACGAGCGCAACCCUUAUCUUUAGUUACUAACAGGUUAUGCUGAGGACUCUAGAGAGACUGCCGUCGUAAGAUGUGAGGAAGGUGGGGAUGACGUCAAAUCAGCACGGCCCUUACGUCCGGGGCUACACACGUGUUACAAUGGGGGGUACAGAAGGCAGCUAGCGGGUGACCGUAUGCUAAUCCCAAAAGCCUCUCUCAGUUCGGAUCGAAGUCUGCAACCCGACUUCGUGAAGCUGGAUUCGCUAGUAAUCGCGCAUCAGCCACGGCGCGGUGAAUACGUUCCCGGGCCUUGUACACACCGCCCGUCAAGCCAUGGGAGCCGGGGGUACCUGAAGUACGUAACCGCAAGGAUCGUCCUAGGGUAAAACUGGUGACUGGGGCUA